AUUGCUUCUCCACCUUUUGGCUAAGAUCAAGUGUAGUAUCUGUUCUUAUCAGUUUAAAUAGAAGUCAUAGAAGAGAAAUUGAAUAUGGCUACAUUUUAGCAAAAUGUGGCCAGCACUACAGUAUUU
rnacentral:snRNA from 1 species